rfam:Gossypium raimondii Chr09_contig_1537, whole genome shotgun sequence.
UGUUAAAAAUUUUAUCUAUUUCUACCAUUAAAAACUGGUCUAGCUGAUUGAAUAAUCAGACAAUGCCACGUAGUGUGCCAUGCAUAUCUCCUGUUGAUAUAUAGAGACUAAUUUUUAAUAAUAAAAUUUGAUAGAAUUUUUAACA